AAGUCCUGUCCAUGUGGACCAAGUGGCAUGGCUCUUCCCAUCCCCAGAAGCAACAGAACUGUGGUCUCCACAGCCUGUUAACUGUACAGCUUACUUCUUUGUUCCUCUCAGUUUGGAAAGAGUAAAUGCACCUCUCUUUUCAGAAACAUCUCAGGUCGUGCGCUGGCAGGAACAAGGCAAGAGCGUUUCUCACGCCUGAAGAGGAAGUGAGCUGGAAAUCACAGUUUUCUCAACUCUCGACAAAUCUCACCCUACUUCCACCUAAGGCAUUUGAGAAGGGUUUAAAAUAUCAACUAUCUUGAUCAUCCUGCCUGCUCUGACCAUGAAGAUGCCCUCCCCAGCUGCAGUGAAGUACUCCAGUCAACAGGAUGCUCAAGGCUUUCGAUGGGCAGCUGCAGAAGUAAACACUCACUUCCCAAUGAGGGGACCCAUUAGUUCCUGGGUGACCAAGAGAAAAGUCAGCCUGAGGCUAAAUCUAGCAUGAAGAGAAUGGCAAAGCCUGAGUAUCCCGGGAAAGAUCCAGAACUCUGAGGAAGCCACUCUUGAAGAAAAUAAAUAAACCAGUGUGGUUGCUACCUCAAAGAGAAGGAAUCCUUCUGGAGCAGCCCACAUCUAUUCUACUCAGCAGGCUGAAAACAUUUGGAAGGCCUCAAACUCAUAACCCUCCUGCCUCUGCAACCCUCAGCAAAUCCUACUGGUGUGAGUCACCACAACCAGCUUGAUGGCAGAAGGAGCUUCUGACUGGAGGAGCUGAAGGGGUUUUGCAACCCCAUAGGAAGAACAACAAUACCACCUAAUCAGACUGCCCAGAGCUCCCAGGGACUAAACCACCAACCAAAGAGUACACAUGGAGUGACCCAUGGCUCCAGCCGCCUAUGUAGCAGAGGAUGACUUUUUUUGGGCAUCAAUGGGAGGAAAGGCCCUUGGUCCUGUGGUGAUUCAAUGCCUAGAAUAGGGGGAUGACAGAGCAGUGAGGCAGGAGUGGGUUAGUGGGUGGGGGAGCACCCUCAUAGACACAGGUGUUCAUUUCUAGCCUCUAAGCUGUUCUUUUAGGCGGUUGGGUUAUGGAAUUCUGAGGAGAUAACAAUUUUAAAAUCUUAGGUCUGGGGGGAUCAGGGACCUACUCAUAUUUGAAUAUCUCUCCUUCUAUCUUCAGUGCCUUCUUCGUCAACUCCAACCAGCUUAGUAACAGAACACGAGGCAAGAUUAUUUUAUUUUCCAUUACACAUAAAGCGACAUCUGUUUGGCACCAAGAGGUCAGUGUGGUUUGUAAAUGUCUUUACCCUGAAAGUGCAGCAAAGGCCAUUGUCUGUGUGACACUUCACAGGCAGUCCUUUCCAGUCCUCCAAUGUUCCAACGUUCAUAUCAAAUUGCUCACUGAAUUAUUCCUCACCCUGUCAAUAAAUAGAUUGUGAGCCCCACCUCUUCACCUUACUCUCGGCUUUCUUAACACAUUACCUACUACUGUCCUAUGCCUUAUAAAUACUAUUUCUUGGGUUAUCUUAGUUCCAAUUGCAAAGUAGGUGAAACAAGAGAAGUGUAUAAAGAAUCAGUAAACUCUUACAGAAAGUAACCACUAACAACUAUGAGACAGCUAGACCUGAGAGAGAUGGCCAAGGACAAACAAGGCUGGAAGAACAGUGGCAGUCCCUCAGACGGGAAUGGAGAGGGUAUAGUGUAGUUUCAUUAUGUAAAUGGAAAUGCUCAGAAGUUUGUCCUGGUUAGGACUGAUCUGGGGUCAUUGGGCAAGCAGAGGGCUUCUCUACAGAGGGCAAGGGACGCUGUUGUGCAGUAUCCACCAGAGAAGACUGCUCAGGCAUGGGUUUAAGCAAUAGAAAGUCUUGGUUAGCCAGCCAGUGACUAUCCUGGGUGUUUGGGAUCCUAGUGGAGCAUCUAGCUUUUCUUGGAAUACCAAGUGAACUUUUAAGCACAGAAACCACAUUCUGGGCUGACAUACUUCAGUUAGCAAGAACAGUUGCCCAGAAGCUGAAUGACGACGGAAGUCAUAAAGGAAAGUUAGUCCAUUUAGAGACAUCUCCAGAGCCAUGGACUUUGAUGGAUUACGUCUUUGUCUCAUUUUGGCAGGCGGUACUGUCUCAUGCUGCUGAGUUUUAUGGCCUGAAGGGUACAUCCAUCAUGAGUCAGCUGUACUAAAGUCUAAGGACCCUGUCACAGUGCCAGCUGAUCAACUACCAGGCAGGCAGGCAGGCAAGCACUGCCUGUGGAAGCCUGGGGAACAGGCAAGCCACAGAGCCUGGAAAGCCAUUAAUGUUUCAAUGGAGCCCUGCACUGGAAAACCUCAUGCAAAUGCAAACGUAUGUGGGCAAGAAGCCUUUGAAUCUCAAUCUCUAUGAUAGGAAGUCUAUGAAAGCUUUUUACCAGGCUGGGUUUGGACUGGAAGAUCACCCAGUGGCCACAUAUUCUAGGUAGGUGGCGGAAGCAGUUUCCCAAGAUGUCCUCCAACCUGUGCUUUUAACUUACCAUGCAGCAGCUGUCAGAAGCAGCAGUAGACACUCUUUAACAGAUUUGCCUGGGAAAACUUCACAUUGAGAGCACUGCAAAAGGAGAUAGUUAUAAGAACCCUAUUCAUCGCCCAAGAGCAAACUCAACAGUGAAUCUGGAGUUGAGAAGCAAUAAAUUGAUAACUGACA